GACGUAGGAUGCGAGCGUUAUUCGGAUUUAUUGGGCGUAAAGCGUGCGUAGGCGGCUAUUUAAGUCUGGUGUUAAAGCUAGGGGCUCAACCCCUGUGAUGCACUGGAAACUGGGUAGCUUGAGUGCGGUAGGGGAAGGUGGAAUUCCGAGUGUAGCGGUGAAAUGCGUAGAUAUCAGGAAGAACACCCGUGGCGAAGGCGGCUCUCUGGUACGUGACUGACGCUGAGACGCGAAAGCGUGGGGAGCAAACAGG
rnacentral:rRNA from 1 species